rnacentral:rRNA from 1 species
AUUGAACGCUGGCGGCAGGCCUAACACAUGCAAGUCGAACGAGUGGCGGACGGGUGAGUAAUGUCUGGGAAACUGCCUGAUGGAGGGGGAUAACUACUGGAAACGGUAGCUAAUACCGCAUACAAUCAGUUGGGCCCAGAGGGGAUUAGCUAGUUGGGGGGGUAACGGUCCACCAAGGCGACGAUCCCUAGCUGGUCUGCGAGGAUGACCAGCCACACUGGAACUGAGACACGGUCCAGACUCCUACGGGAGGCAGCAGGGGGGAAUAUGGCACAAUGGGCGCAAGCCUGAUGCAGCCAUGCCGCGUGUAUGAAGAAGGCCUUCGGGUUGUAAAGUACUUUCAGCGGGGAGGCGUUACCCGCAGAAGAAGCACCGGCUAACUCCGUGCCAGCAGCCGCGGUAAUAC